rnacentral:lncRNA from 1 species
GGGUGGAUAUAUGUGGAUGGUACUUCCGGAGUAGAAGUAGCAUAUAUGAGUGAACGUGCAAGUGAAAUCUUGAUUUAACCACAUGACAAGCUCCUAAGGGUCUACACAGCUUGACUACACUCAAUGCUCAUAAGCAGUAAAUAGUAAAUGUGUGGCUCAAAGUCUAGCAAACAUGUAUAUAUGGCUGUGGUAGGAAUUUAAACUCUCAUCAUAUAGGAAGUCAUCAUGCAAUAUUUUAAAGAUUUUCAAAGAUAAAAUUCUCCAGAAUUCUAGCGUCUCUAGGAACAGAUAAACAGCAGCUCAACCUUCCCAUAUCGUAUCCGUUAACAACUUAGACUUC